GACGAACGCUGGCGGCGUGCUUAACACAUGCAACUCGAACGGCGACGCGCCUUCCUUCUUGUUCGGCGUGUAUGAGUGGCGAACGGGUGACUAACACCUGCGUAACCUGCCUCCUCCUUCUGGAUAACCGCAUGAAAGUAUGGCUAAUACGGGAUAUUCGCUGUCUGUCGCAUGAUGGGUCCUGGGAACAUAUUGUCUCGGCCGGGGAUGGGCUCGCGGUCUAUCAGCUUGUUGGUGGGGUACUGGCCUACCAAGGCGGUGACGGGUAGCUGGCCUGAGAGGGUGGACGGUCACGCUGGGACUGAGGGGCGGACCAGACUACUACAGGAGGCAGCAGUGGGGAAUAGUGCACGAUGGGAGGAAGGCUGAUGCAGCGGCGCAGCGUGAGGGAUGGAGGCCUUCGGGUUGUGAACCUCUUUCGCCAGUGAAGCAGGCCUGCCUCGUUUGUGGGUGGGUUGACGGUAGCUGGAUAAGAAGCGCCGGCUAACUACGUG
rnacentral:rRNA from 1 species